ACAAAAAAACAAGGACAGCUCUACCUCCACAACGAAAAGAAAAAGAGUCCCACACACUCUUACCUCCAACCUUCAUCAACAAAGAGAGAACUUUUAGAAAGAGAGAAGUUUAGCAACUACCAAGAAUGCCCAAAUUACAGAUUAGUCCAGCACUAAAAUUCUUAAAAGAAUCCCAAUCUAAUAACAGAUCCGUUCUUAUCCUAAAAAAAGCUCUUCUCCGAGAUGGCCAACAGAACAUGAUCUCUAUGAAAGAUAGUAGAACAGCAUAUCUUGAAGAUGGACAGCAAUGGAGAAGGAGGCGAAAAGGGUGGUGAUGGUGCCAACAAGGCAAAUGUUGCAACUGGUAACUGGCCUACGAUGAUGGUGGCUACGAGUGCUGGAACUGGAUUUCGAAUCGUCAGGAGGGAUUUUAAGAAGAAUCCACAGGGUUGUGUUUCUCAACUGCACGCGAAUGAGAAAGCAAACAAGAAGUAGUAAUGUUCUCGGAGCUGCUGUUAAUGUUUAUGAGUAGUACGUGGUGUAAUAAUUAUCUUCUACUAAAUAAAUUGAACGUUUAUGAGUUUUAACUUUCCUUUAAA